AUUAUCAAAUUGAGUUUCAACAGCAAAAAAAUAAAACACUAAUCCUCUGAAAGGUUGGAUAAGACGUUUGCAGAUGACAGAUGUGCUUCAGUUGUGUGUGUUUUUGUGUGUGUGUGUGUGUGUGUGUGUGUGUGUGUGUGUGUGAGUGAGAGAGAGAGAGAGAGAGAGAGAGAGAGAGAGAGAGAGAGAGAGAGAGAGAGAGAGAGAGAGAGAGAGAGAGGUGAAUACUUAUAUCCAUCCUAUAAGUGUGUCAAUGUGAGCCUAAACGUGUGUGUCGCAAAUAUGGCUAAAGCUGCUGUUUUAUGAUUGGCUGCUGCCCACACAUACUCAAUAUGCACCCUGCUGGCACUGAGAUGUGUGCAUGAGAGAGAGAGCGAGGGAGGGAGAGAGUCUGGGAUAUAAAGGGGGUUGACAUAAGUAUAAAAGAGGAGAGAACCACAGUGGUAUAGGAACAGGAAGAGAACAAUCAUUCACUUUUCAUAGCAGUGCCAGCAGCUGACAUCACACCACUCUAACAGCUGCAUCAGCAGAGAGCCACAGCCGGGCUCAGGAGGGCAACACCUGAGCUAACGGACGGUAACCAGGACGACGGCAGCGCCAGCGACAAUAACCCUGUCAACAACUCUUUGACCCCAAUACAGCCAACAGAUCCAGUUACCAUGGCAAUUAGCUCAUCGCCGCCGCUAACAGAGCUUGAAAGAGAAAAUUUGAUUAGCUGGAACAACCGAGAAUUAGAGGAACCCAAUUACCCAGAGGUCCAUGGGAUGCAGCAGCCAAGCAGGAAGGAGCCGGAGGUAGAAGAGCCGACAGAGGGAGACAAUGGAAAAACAGAUGGAGACGAGUGUGACUAUCUUGUCUUUGAUAUUGGACAGCAGAAGGGAGGAGAAGAAAUGGGGGGGUGGGGUGGAGGAAAAGCAGAAACAAGGAGUGAAGAUUUAGGGGGAAGAGGAGUUGAGGGAGAAGAUGAAGGGAGAGUAAAAAUAGAAGGUGAGUAUGAAGCGAUUGGAGAAAGAGAGAGAGAAGACUCUAAAGAAGAGGACGGGUGGAUAGGAAAGACGGUGGGGGAGAUGAAAGAUGAUGCUCUGGCAGAGCUGCCCUUCAUCUCUGACAGUCCAGUCUGUCCUUCAUCAUCAGAGCCCCUGGGUGGCACAUCCCUUCCUGCAGAGCAGCCUGCAAUAGCGGCCACGUUGCAGAAGGCCUGGGGUCACGACCUUGGAAACAGAGAUGACUUAAGCGAUGGUCACCUUAGUGACUGCCUCCAAGCUGAGCUGGCUAUCGUGUACUCGGACAGUGACGCAGGGGAGGACCAAUGGGCAGCCUUCGCGCCCUGUGAUGUCACCAACCAGGAAGAAGCAGAUGGAAAGAAUCAUGAUAGCAUCUGUGAUAUAGAGAGCAAGGAAGAGAAGAGAGAGGAAGAGAGUAGGGAGAGAGCGGAGGAUGAAGAUGAGUCAGUAGAGACUGGAGCAGAGGACCAGAGAGAGGAGGAAGUCGAGAAGGAGCAGGAAGAGAGGAGGGGAGGCGGGGAUGAUGAUGAAGAGCAGAUGAAGAUGAGGAGAGAUGUUUUUUUGCGCUCUCCCUCUGUCUGCUCUACAGCCAGCCCCACAGACCCUGACAGGAAGGUUCCUGUAGAUUUCUGUGUCCACCAAGACACCCUCAGUGAAAAUGUCUCCACUGAGCAUGUAGACUUUCUGUUGGCCUGCAAGCAGUGGAAGAAGAUGGAGGAGGAGGUCAAAGGUCAACCAUUCCCCAAACCGGGGCUGAGAGCUCAGGGGAGCUUCCAGGGCACCCAUACUUCACUAUACCCUCCCACUCGCAGCCCUCGCCUCAAACACAGGGAGAUCCAUCCACCAGUGCCAAGGGAGUCGCCCCUCUCCUCCACACUGUCCCCCAGUUCAGAGGACUCAGGCCUGGAUGACUCAUCAUACCGCAGCCCCCUGGAGGAGCCAGAGACCCCGGUGGAGAGAGAGAUCCGGCUGACUCUUGAGAGAGAGGAGCGACACCGCAGAGAGAGGGGAAUGAUUGCACAGGGCCUGACUAUAUCUAGACCAUCCACCCUUCAAACAGGACGAUCUCCACCCAGACCUCCGGCCUGCCGCACCCCUACCUUGUCCAUCUCCCCGUCCCCCUCCUGCUCCUCUUCCCUUCCCCGAUCAGUCUACCAUGAAAUGACAGCUAAUAAUGUUAUUAUCUUGGAGCCUGACUGCUCCAGCUCCGCCUCCAGGAACCGCCUACUCUCCUCUGCAAUUGGAGGCCUCUCCGAUUGGCCAACAGGCCUGGAUACAGUGCCUUCUGCCAACGUCAUUGUUGUGGAAACCUCCAAUCUGAUCAUUCGCAGCGCUUCCGAGUUCUGCCUAAGCUCCGCCCCUGUGUCUAUGGAAACCCAGGAGAGCACUUUCUCGUCAAAUCCAUUUUUCAAACUACGCUCUCUCAGCAGCCAGUCGCUGGUGGAGCAAGAGAUUCGCAUGGUGAGGCAGAGGGAGGAGGAGUGGAGGAGGCAGAGGGAUGAGAUGUGGAGGAGGAGGCAGGAGGAGGAGUGGAGGAAAGGGAGAGAGAGGUACGAAACAGUGCUUGUGUCUCCAGGCCUGGGCGAUAACAUCACUUUCAAUGUGCCAGAGGUUUCAGACAGAUGUGUAUCCUCCCCAUCGUCUCCCUCUAGGACCCGCAAAAUGGAACGAUCCAGUUUGUCUUGUGACCACAAGUGGUUUAGCUGA
ensembl:lncRNA